rnacentral:rRNA from 1 species
GUCUUAUUGAUGAUAAUUUUAAGUCUGGUCUGCCCAGUGAUUUAUUAAAUGGCUGCAGUAUUUUAACUGUACAAAGGUAGCAUAAUAAUUAGUUUCUUAAUUAGGAACUGGAAUGAAAGAUUGAACGAGACAAUAACUGUCUUAAUAUAAAUUUAAGAAUUUUAUUUUUAAGUUAAAAAGCUUAAAUUUUUUUAAAAGACGAGAAGACCCUAUAGAAUUUUAUAUUAUUUUUAUAUUUAAAUUAUGGUAUAUAAAUUUUAAAUUUUUAUAAAGAUUAUUUAGUUGGGGUGAUUAAAAAAUUUAUUUAACUUUUUUUAUUUAUAACAUUAAUUUAUGCACGAUUGAUCCAAUAUUUUUGAUUAUAAGAUUAAAUUACCUUAGGGAUAACAGCGUAAUUUUUUUAGAGAGUUCUUAUCGAUAAAAGAGAUUGCGACCUCGAUGUUGGAUUAAAGUUAAUUUUUAAUGUAGAAGUUAGAAUAUUAGGUCUGUUCGACCUUUGAAACUUUACAUGAUCUGAGUUUAAAUCGGCGUGAGCCAGGUUGGAUUCUAUCUUUAAAGAAUUUUAGUAUUUUAGUACGAAAGGACCAAAUAUUAUUUAUAUUAAAUUUUAUAGAAUAU